rnacentral:snoRNA from 1 species
UUAUAUGAUGAUAAUAGCAAACAAAAGCUGGAAUUACCUGCUGAAAAUUCUUGAUUGAUAAUGUUUGGCAUUUUUAACUGAUU